rnacentral:lncRNA from 1 species
GGGGAAGAGGCGCUGUUGGCCGCGCUCGCCCUCCUGCGCAGCCCGGGCGGACGGGACCGUGUCUGCAGGUUUCUGGCGAACCUGUGCUGAAUGACAAGACGAUCUAGCGCCUCGUGUAGCUAACUAGGUCACUGUCAGCACUUAAUUACUGUUUGUUUCAUUUUAGUGCGUGCCUUAUGAAUAAACCGGCUAUUAGGCUGAUGCUUCAAGUAACUCUAUCCAGCACCAAGGCUCCUCUGUUCAGAUAGCAGAAGCAAGACAAAGCAUCGUCCUUUUUGUGCGCACUGAUUUAAGAAGUCCAACACACCUGAAACCAAGGCAAUUAGGUGAUUCUGCUGUUUCCUGCCUUAUUUUUUUUUCCUUUAUAAGGAAAAGAGGAGAGAGAGGUGUUGUGUCUUCUACUAGAUUUUUUCUCUAGUUCAAUUUGCCCAGUUGCCACAGGCAUUUUAACGGGGGUGCACCUGGCUGAAUAGUUAACUAUGCUUUUUAUUUCUUUUUCAGGGCAGGUGGGGUACAACUGUCAUCUUGUGGUAUUUACAAGAAAACAGAAAUAGAAAACUAACUUUCAUUUUACAUGUAGCAUGUCCUUGUGGGAUGGACAUAGACUAUACAGAAAUUAGGUAGAAAAAGCAUUUUGGCUAUGGAAACCUGCCCUGUUAUGUUUUCCUUCUCUUGCCAGCUUUCAGCCUGUGUACCACAGAACGUUGCACUGUUACUGAAGACCUAAAAUUUGAAGUCUGUGGUCCUCAGAGUUGAGGGAAGUUGAGCCUAAAGAGAAGCUGCCAUGUUUGCUGGAUGUGUUAAAGACUGGGAUUUAUAAGUAAGUUUCUCUUCUCAGUCAUUAAGAAACACAAGAAAGGAACAUGGAACAUCUGUAUGUACAUUUCUAUAUUUAUACGUUUCUAUUUUUUCUAUCUAUUUUCUAGGCAUAAGUUUUAAGACAUAUACAUAUAUGAAAUGAGUUUCACAUCUAAAACAGUGCAAAUGUAGGAUGUUGCUGGAGUGGCUGUCCUUCCCCUACCUCUUCAUACAGAUGAGACAAAAGACCCAUACCACAGGCUUGAGUUUGGUAAGAUUACUGU